UCUCGUACGAUCACCAAAGUUAAGCAACGUCGAGCCUGUUCAGUAUCUAGAUGGGUGACCGCUUGAGAGUACCAGAUGCUGUAA